UGAAAAUAAUAAUGUUUUAUUCUUUAUGCAAUGGAUCUCAUCCUGUAGGCCAUGACAGCCUAGUGUGCUUCAAACUUUCAUAGAGAUUGGGUUAUACGUUCAUCAACAUGUGCCCAAAAUAUUGUUGCUUCUUCUGGGUGUGCAGAAAACGACUGUGCUGUCUUACAGAUGAAUUGUAUAUAGAGAGAUACAACUUGUAGUUAGUGCUAAAGAUCAUGUUUACCGGAACAAGCAAAACUCUUGCAGACGAUAUAUAUGAGUAUGAGGCCAGGGGAGGGAACAGCUCAACUCAAAUAACAGUGCUGAAGGGCAAUGUGGUAAACACAAAAAUUCUCAACCACCAGCACUUACCAAAUGCUUGACUCAAUAAAUCUGUAGUAUGUUGAGUGAGUAAC
rnacentral:lncRNA from 1 species